UACGAAGGGGGCUAGCGUUGCUCGGAAUUACUGGGCGUAAAGGGCGCGUAGGCGGCUCUGUUAGUCAGGCGUGAAAGUCCUGGGCUCAACCUGGGAACUGCGCUUGAUACGGCAGAGCUAGAGGAUGGAAGAGGCUCGCGGAAUUCCCAGUGUAGAGGUGAAAUUCGUAGAUAUUGGGAGGAACACCAGCGGCGAAGGCGAUCAUCUGGGGUUGUUCUGACACUGAGGAGCGAAAGCUAGGGGAGCAAACGGG
rnacentral:rRNA from 1 species